UCAUGGCAUUUCUAACAGUUCAACCUCCAAAU
rnacentral:piRNA from 1 species